rnacentral:rRNA from 14 species
UGAUCAAAUACAUUUGAAUCUUUAUCGUUUUUCUGACCAUCCUGUAUUCUGUUCAUAAUGGAUUUCACCCUAUCAGGGACUUCCCAAUCAUGCUCUGAUUUUGGAAUAUGAUCAAGGCAUUCAGGAUGAUGCAGGAUAAGCGUUCGCGACUGGGGAGAGAAGCGGAGAAA